rnacentral:misc_RNA from 1 species
UCGUUGAUCGAGGGCUUUGCAUCGAGCGUUUGGUCGAGCAGUGUUCCGAUAAUUAUGGCGAUUGUUGGUGCAGAUGAGAAAAUGGUGUUUAGGAUAUCAUUGAACCAUCCACCCGCUGUUUGAACUGGUCCACGACCAUCUGGUGAAGUGUUUGUGACGAAAUACUGAGGUAUCGAGAUGCCAAGGAACAAGGAGAGGCCAAUAAUGUAGAGGUUUCUCAUGGAAUUGUUGUUGGUGAAUUGCAUGAAUG